rnacentral:lncRNA from 1 species
GACCCCCUCGGUACGCUAUAACGACCAUUAUAACGACACUUUGCACACGAGCUAGAGGAGUGGUGUGCGUUUCCCAUAUUUUUCUCGACUCCGAGAAAGUGCUUCGAAAAGUGCUCCGAAAGUGAAAAAUAAUUACGACGUUUGAAAUAACAAGAUCAUGGCUAUCGAAUACCUUGCUUGGGAUGUAUUCGUUCUUGAGGAAAGAUUACGUCGACUCGAACGUCGUGUGGAAAGAAGGCGACUGAGAGAUGCUCAGAAUCCUUUUCAGUUACCACGAGAAGAGUUUCUCAGCCUUUUUCACCUGCCUCAAGAAGCUGUGAUGAAUCUUGGUUAACACCUUAAGCGCAGUCAAAGCGAAAAUAUUUUUCACUGUUCAGCAAAGCAGCAUAGGUGAUGCUGGAUAUCCGUUGGAGCCUUGGCUGUUAACACCUCUGGCCAAUUUUCCUGAAGAUACGCGACAACAUCAAUAUACACAACAACUAUGUAAGGUUAGAAACGUCGUCGAGCGGUUUUUUGGAGUUUUUA